rnacentral:pre_miRNA from 1 species
AACCUACUUCCUUCAUCACGAAUGACUUGUCGCAGAAAUUGAUAUAUUUAGACGUAUUUCAGUUCUAGAUACAUCAAUUUAUAUUCAUUCCCGUGACAAGUAGUUUGAGACGGAGGGAGUAUUAG